AUUGAACGCUGGCGGCAGGCCUAACACAUGCAAGUCGAACGGUAACAGGAAACAGCUUGCUGUUUCGCUGACGAGUGGCGGACGGGUGAGUAAUGUCUGGGAAACUGCCCGAUGGAGGGGGAUAACUACUGGAAACGGUAGCUAAUACCGCAUAACGUCGCAAGACCAAAGAGGGGGACCUUAGGGCCUCUUGCCAUCGGAUGUGCCCAGAUGGGAUUAGCUUGUUGGUGAGGUAACGGCUCACCAAGGCGACGAUCCCUAGCUGGUCUGAGAGGAUGACCAGCCACACUGGAACUGAGACACGGUCCAGACUC
rnacentral:rRNA from 1 species